AAAAAAAAAAAAAAAAAGAACCCAAUUGUGUGGUGCGGUUUGGGGCUUUCCUGGAAAAGAAGAGUCUGCUUCUUCAGGCUUCUCAAUGAUUCUACGCUGUUUAUGCCUUUUAAUAAAUUCAUCUCCAUUUAAACAUGCUAAAGUGGGUUUUAUUGUCUGUAACUAAGAACCCGGGCCAAGACAUUCACCAAAUAAGUUUCCAGCACAUAUGAAACUGGCACUGUGCUUUAAAAAGAUUUGUUCACUCAACUAAUAGUUAUUGAGGCCUUACCAUGUGUUGGAUGCUGUAUACCACCCUUUGUACGUUAAUUAUUUGUUCAUUUAAUAAUAAUAACAAUAUUAACAAUACUCAGAAUGUGGAAAUUAUAGCAUGAGGUUUAAAUGAAAAAGAACAUAAACACUUUAAAUGUAAAGUACAGUUACACUCAUAUAAUUGUUCGUUGUGGUAUCUGUGAUACUUAAAGGAGUAUAUAUAAAUGCAGCCUUUCUUCAAAAGGACUGGAUUAUCAAGUAGGUUUCCCACCACUAGAGUUGUUCAGAGAUAGAAUAAUAAUCUGACACAGAUAUUGUUUAAGAGAUCUCUGCAUUGCAGUGAAGUUUGAUUAAAUAAUACUCAGAAUCUCAGCUUAUCCAAGUAGGGAAUCCAUAUUUCAGCCCCUGCCUCACACCAUCAAAGCAAAGCAACAACAAUUUGCAGUGGACUCUCCAAAAUUGUUCAUCUCUUUUAUAUACGCAAUUGGAGCUGGACUGUGGCUCCUUUGGGGAGACAGAUGUAGCUUGAAGGGUUUCUUCCCUCCUUGUUCUUAAUUCUUCCUGCCCUGAUAUGGCAUUCCAUUUCCGAACAUGGCAAGCAUCUUCCCCCUGGUGCCGCCCCCACCUCGCCCACACUAGGGGAGUGUGGGAGAGCAGUAUGCAGCCAAUGUGGACACUCUGUUCUAUAUUUUUGUCUCCUCCUCCAGGUGUCUGAACCUAUCCUUACUGGUAAUUACAGUACCAGAUGCUAGUUGGAAAAAAAAAAGAAACCCACAGUUUCACAAAACUGCAUCUCCACUCAGACUCCUAAUAUUCUGUCAUUAGUCGCAGCUCAUUUAUUUGUGUUUUGAUGGCAGGAAUGGUUUGGUGUGUUUUCCAUGGGAAGAAAAAUGUAUUUCAGUGAAAAGAGCUACAUGUUCAUGUUCCUAAUAUAUUUAUAGAGUCAGUUUAUCUAAUCUUAGAGAGUUGCAGUUUGAACACUUUGAUGUUCAGGGAUCACAUAAGGGGAACAAUAGUAAGCUUAAUGAAGAAAUCUUCCUGGUGAGCUGCAGGUGUCUCUGUCUAAUGAACCAUUCAUAUAACGAUCCAGGUCAUAUAUAAAGGUCCUUUCUGGCCGAAAUUGCUGCCCACAUGAGAGACUCAAAUCUGGUUGGUCCCAUUGGCUGGUCCCGAGUAUUGAAAUGUGCCCCUGAAAACUAUGACUUAGGAGAAGCCUGAAAACAAACACUAAUCUGUAUGGCCAGGACCUAGAAGAAUCUAGCUUAGUCCUAAUGAAAACCAGGCAGUGGGCCAACUCCUUUUAUAUUUGGUUUUCAUGAGAAUCUGUCUGUGGGGGAGCUCUGAGUGUUUUUAGUGCAAUAACAAGCUUGUGUUCUCUGGGCCAAUUAGUAUGUAAUUAGGUGUUGGCUAAUGAGGGGGAGGAUAAAAGGUGGAGCUGGCAGAGAGAGCGGGUAUGGGUGUGACUCAUGUGUAUGCAGGUGGUGAAGUGGCACAUGUUGAGAACUAAAUUGAAUUUCUAAAGCCCAAUAAUUUGUUACACACUAUUAGUAAGUUCUGUGCUAGACCUUCAGCAGCUUUUUCAUAUCUCUAUUGAAACAUGCUUCUAUUCCUCUCUGCAAAAUAAGAUGUUCAGCACAUGCAUGUUAACGUUUUUCCCUGGCCAUCUUCUAAAAGUUUAAAAUGAGAGUUGGUUGGGAUGCUUGUUAGUAUUGAGUUACCUAUAAGAAAAACAAAAGAAAACCAUUGGUUUGUUCUUCCACUCAGCAUAUAUUUCUUUGCGUGUUCAUCAGUGAGCUAAACAAAGAUCCCUGCCCUCUUGGAGCUUGCAUUCUAGUGAUGAGAGAUGGAUCAUGAACAACAAACUUAAAUAUGAAAAUUAUAUACUACCUUAGAAGGUGAUGAAAAAAUUUAGGGUGAGACAAGGGAUCACGUCCCCCCUCCCCCACCCCAACACACACACACACAAUGUUAAGGGAUGUGUGCAAGUUUCAAAAGAUAACGUCCCUGAGAAGGUAAGAUUUGAGCAAAGACUUGAAGGCCUUAUGGAAGGAAAAUGUUGGGGGAAAAGAGGUAAGAAUUGACACAAAUAAGUAAUGUCAUGCGCCAAAAAUGACUGAAGAUUCAGCAAAGACCAAAUGAAGAAAAAAAAAUUCUCAUUUUUUUUUAUUCCUCUCAUCUUUGAUGUUUGUCAAAGUCUGUACUGGUGCAGGCACUUUGAGUGUUUCUGUGGCCGCAAGAGGCUCCUGAUACCGCUCUCAUUUGAGUUUUUUUUUUUUUAAAGGAGCAGGGCAGAGAGCAAGGAAAAUAAAGGAAAAUACAGCUUUCGUGAAUGAGAAGAAACUGUAGUUUCAAUUGCAUAGGUGGGCCAAAUAGUUUUGGCAUUUUUUUUUGUCAGGCAGCAAAUGUGUUUUAAUUCUGUGAGUCCUUCCCGAGUACACCAGAAACUGUGAUAUGAGCUUUUUAUGAAUGCAGCCUUCACCAUGUCUCCUGUUAAUUCAUCCUGGUCUUCAUAAAACUGCAUGGUUAGGAAGGUAGUCUUCUUGGUUCUCCUGACUUCUGCGUGUCAGAGAGCUACUGCAAGUGAAAGCACCCAAGAGAGUGUAAAAUACUUUAAAGAUGUAAGAUACUACUUUACUGUUAAUCUAUGUUGUUAAAAAAAAUUCUAAAUGAUGAUGAAUGUGCUUGUUCUCCUUCUCCAGGGAAGCAAGGUGAUAAUUUGAUUUUUUAGUUAACCUGAUGAGUUUUUGUAGCUGUCAAGAACUCUAAAAUUGAGGUAAGCCCCAAAUGAUAAGUAAAUUAUGAUAUUAUGGUCUGUUUUUCACCAGACUAAUUCAGUAAAGCAUCAUCCCCACUACUUAUCAAGGUACGUCUCACACUGCCUGUGCCAAAGGAUUCGCCAAUGGCAGAAACCAGAAAAAAAUCAAAUUCUUUUAUUCAUAGGUUCUCUUCAUAUUACCACCUCGCUAUUAUAUUCAUACAUCAUCAAGGAAACCACAUUACCCCUGAUGUUUACUUUUGCUGUUCUGUGCCUCUGGCAAGCUGAUAAUCUGAAACUAAUAUCCUUUUAUUAUUUAUACAACAUUUGGCAAGAGUGGAAUAAACACCAGUAAAGAGUGUUUAUCUUUUGACUUUGUUUUUAAUUUCUACUCAAGAGUGCUUCUUUAUUGGAAAGGGAACCAAUUUUCACAUCUCCAAUUAUGUAAGGAAUUUCAUGUGACAAUAUGGUUUAAUUGACAUCAUAUAUCCAAAUUAUUCCAGUCAUAUUUAGUCCUUCUUAUAACUAGUUCUGUGGCAGUAGCCUCACCAAGCUCCUGCUUGAAAUCUACUCACUGUGAACUUCCUUUCCAAUGUAACUUCGCUCUUUCAUAAGAUUUUACUAAUUCAUUGACUUCUCCCAGUCCUCAAAGGUAACUGCAGGUGAACAUUUUAUUUUUGAGCAGACAGACUUAACAUUAAUAUUGUUCUUUGUGUAUGAAGGUGACCUUACUGACUGACCAGCCUAGGGGCAGACAUUUGAUUUUUUUCUCCAGUAAUGGGUAUAGAUUUAUUCUGGCAUACUUAUGGCCUUGCUGAGUAAAGCUGAGGCCAUGAAUCAGAGUAAGGCUGAUUGGCCUCCAUAGAGCAUUGACCACAUAACCAUACACUUACUAGCACCAUGGGCUAAUCUGCUGCAUUAAUGGUUACAGAUGUUGUGUUUAAUAUCCAAGUCAAAGCUAACCUUUGCAAAGCAGAACAGACUCUGUGCUAAGUACCAGACAUAGACCAUUUUCUAUACUCUACAACUCAAUAAGAUUGGUAGUCUUAAUCUAUUUAGAGUGAGAAGAUGAAUACUUAAAAGGAUUAGGUAAUUUGUCCAAGGUGACAAUGAGAAUAAGUAGUAAACCCAGGAUUCGAACCCAGCUUUAAUAUAGAUCCAUCAUUUUUAACCUCUACACUAAACUGUGUCCUUCAUUAAUGGUAUACCUAAGUUAUAGCCUGUAAUCUAUACUGUAAUCUAGCCCUGUAAUAAUCAGGAAUAAGUUGACUUCUAUACAAGGGCUAUACUAUACUAUCCUUGACCAAGAAAUAUCUCCAAGUUUCAAGCAAACUCUCAAAGCUUCAGGUCAAACUUCCUCUUCAGAGUUAGCCAUAGAGAAUAUAGGCCAAUAUAUGGUAUAUUGUCCUGAUACUUAAAACAUUUUCUGUAAGCAAAGAUUUAUCAGGAAAUUGAUUUACUGAAUGGCCAUGGGGGCACCAUCACAUCCACUCCUGCUUCAGUGAGCUGACCAAUUGGGUCUUUAUUCCUCACAAGCAGGUUGCUUGCUGAAAUCUAAUUUAUUAAAUCCAUCAAAUUUUGGUUUACAGUGUGUACUCAACAAAAGCAAAAUAAUCUCAAUUUCAAAGAUAAACUUAUACAAAUUGUAUAAUUCAUAUAAUAGACUGUUCUACUGAUAAUCAAUGAAUAAAAAUAUGUCAUAUUUUAAGAUGAUUUUGCAAUUAGGGGAAAAAGGAGAUUUUCCUCAAUUAAAAAAUUAGUAGGUAUAUGUAGAAUAUAGUAUGUUUUAAGUGAAAAAUCAGAAAAAAUGAUUUAGAAAUGGCAGUAUUUCUUCGUCUUUGAAGGGUUUAAGCUAUUUUAAAGAGAUUUUUAAACCUUUGAACUUUAGAGGGAAAAAAUGGUCUACCAGUAGUCACAAAAAUAAAAUGUAAAUUAAUUUUUGCUUUAAGAAGCAAAAUAUGAAAUGCUCCACAAGAUUUACUUUUGUGUGGUGUUUUUUUCCUUCUUGUUUUGCUUUUACUUUGAGCAAGAAACACAAAGUGUCAUGAAAUAAUUACAAGUAGUAACAAAUUUUUUAUAAGACUGGAAAACAUUGCUCUUAGACAAGUUUGAGGUCAAAUCUCAAGUCUAACACUUACUGACUGUGUUAUUUUACAUGAGUUAGUUAACUCUCUAAGUUCUAAAAAAUGUUUAAUAUAAAGUAAGACACUCUCCCGCGGAAUCUUGGAAUAACCAAAUUGUGGUAGACUAUGUAUGCAAAGAGGUGGGCAUAGUGCAUGCCUUAUAGCAAGUGCUCGAUGGAUGCACAUUGCAGUCUUUUAAAAAUCUCUAUUCUCUAUUUUAGACAAUGAAAGCAAAAUUCAAUAGAAGAAAGGAAAAAUGAAAAAGACAACAUUAAAAGAGAAGAUCAAGCUUUCCAGCAUCAUACUGGGGCUUAAUAAUGCCUUUGGCUUUGGGAUUGGGAUUUUUUGAUGUGACCAAACAGCCAUUUAUGUUCUCAGAAAACUGGAAUAGGAAUAUCCUAUGGUGGAAGAAAAGAAUGGACCAUGAUGAAAAUUUCUACACCAGAAGACUUGAGAUGACUGCACAUGAUGUUGGGAGCUAUGUCGUUCAUCUUGUGACAUUAAGAGACAAGAAUGACAAGCAGCUGAGGGCAGAGAAGAAGGAUGGAAGAAACUUGGGUCCUUGAACUUGCGUUUGAACCUCUGAAUGACCUUCCCUGGACCACUAUAUAUAGCUACAAAGACCUGUUGUGUGAAAUAGUGAGUCUCCACUUUUGUCACAUGUGGCUAAAAACAUCCUAAUUAAAAACAAAAUAAAUUAUUAAUUGCUGGUAUAAACCUCAUAAAGAAAACUUUAAUUGAAGAAAAAUAAAGGAAUUCUCUAAAACUAAUUUUACAUUAAAUAUGCAAAAAAUCAGUUAAUACUAGUAACUAAAAUGCAGAUCACAGUAUGAAAUAAAUUUAAAUGAAUCCUUACCUUGUAAUCUAGACAAAGCAAAUGUCAGUACAAAUUGAUGAAGCAAGGCAUAAAAUGCAAUACAUUUGAAUGAAUGCCUUCACAGAUAUCUAUUAUAUAUAUAAAUAAAUUCAUAAAAAAUGAAGAAAUGUUAAAUGCAUCCUUGCACAUACAAUGAAAACAAGUAUUUUUCUCAAUAGGAACAAGCAAAAGGAAAAAAAUUGAAUGAAUUUUAAAAGAAAUUAGCCUCAACCAAAAAAAAAAAACAACAACAAUGAUACUGCUUUUGAGUCAUGGAUUUUGUAGGAUGCUGAUAUAUUUAUAUCUGAAAUGUUAAGGUACUAAUCCAGGAUCUGUGUGGCUGCUUGAUUACAUUUUUAAUAAAGAAAAUUACUCAGCCUGAGAAACUUCCUCUUAGUUCAAUGAUAGUUUGAAUUUCCAUUCUUUACCACUAGAAAAUCACAUCAUCUUUGCUGUCUUAUCCCAUGUUACCUUUCUCCCUAGUCAUGUGAAAUUUGAUAUUGUUGGUGAUAUUUAGGGGAAGAAUUUUGUUAGAAAUGUAGAUUUCUAUAUUUCUAUAGAGUGAACCCUCUAAGGGCUUGUAGGAGUUCAUGGAUCUAGAAAUGCUUUAGAAAUUGUUAAGUGCUACACAAAAGUAUAUGUAGUUAAUUAUCUUUUGAGACUUUGAAUCAUGUGAUCACUUUUAAUAAAAGUAUGUUAGAAGAAACAAUUUCGAAUACACAACUAUUGAACAAUUAUAUAACAAAAUGAUAACAGCUUAGUGUUUAAUAUUUUCAGUGGAACAAUUAUAUAACAAAAUGAUAACAGCUUAGUGUUUAGUAUUUUCAGUGGCUAGUUAUGUAAUGGAUAAAUAGCAAUCACAGAACAGUCAAGGGUAGCUCUGAUUUGGGGAGAAGGGAGGUAGCCACACGUUGGGCAAAAGAUUCAGUGUUCCAAAUGACUUAGGUGGAUGAAUCAGUUAUUCAGAAGAAGCUGAAGAGGCUCAAUAAGUGAAUCUUCAGUAAAUUGCCCUUGAAGAAAAAUCCAAUGAUAGGGAAGAACGGAAACCCCAUUGAAGUCAUGCCACCUGCAAGAAGCUUUUUUCAACUAUGCCUGCCAGCUUUUCCGUUCAGCAUGCCUACUGCACUACAUGAAUACUAGUUAUUCCAGUUCCGUGAGUACUGGUAAAUCUAGUUAAACCUUGUAAGUUUUAUGUAUGACCCACAAAGUUUUAUACUUAAUCUCAUUUAUAGAACAUGAGUAAGAUAUCAAGAAUAUGAUUAAGAAUAUUUUAAAUAUUCUUCCAAUGUAAUAUUUCCAGCUCAUCAAGCAGGCUGUGAAUUCAUAGAGCAGGGAUCAUGUUUUCUUAUUUUUUUUUUCUUUUCAGUACCCUGAUGCUAAAUACAUAGAACAUACUGAAUAAAUAUCAUUGGUUUGUGUAAUGGUUAAAAGUACAGGCUUGGGCUUUUGCCAGGUGAAAUUUCAUGUCUCUCUCUAGCAGUUAUUUCCACAUGAAACUAGGCAACCAUUUUAGCUUUUCUGGACAUCAUUUUCCUUAUUACAGGUCACAUGAAAUUAUGUAAAGCUGCUGGUCAUAAUAUUGUAAUAACAUCUUUCUUUUCUUGGGCACAAUAUUAUGACCAAGAGGAAUGGGAUGUACUGGCAAACAAGCCAGAAGUCAGAAAAAAGACCACAGUUACUAAAGAACAACAAAAGAUAGUCUCUGAAAUAAAAGAUGUGGAUGGACUCAUAGCAGAAGACAUGGAGGAUCAAUGAUACAAUGGCUAUUUCAAAGACAAUAACCUGUUCUUAGUGUCUACUUAAUAUAUAAAAGAAGGCAAGGCAACAUGAAAGAUUUUGGAUGGAUAUAAAGGAGGACUUUCCAAUGGGUAUUAUAAUAUUAGAAGAUAUUAUAGAUAGAGAUGAUAAAAUUCCUUGAGCUACCCUAACAAUAGUUUGUGGAGAAAGGUAAAAUAAGAAAAAUAUGUUUGUGCAAAUUUUAUGGCCAAAAAAAUGGUCUACAGUAAUUAAAGAAAUGUAAACUUAAAAAAACUGAGAUUCAUAAAAUACGAUGCUAUAGUUAGAAAUAAUAUCACAGUUGAGAAAAAAGAAAUAACGUACAGUGUCUAUUGAGAUGAAGAAAAUGUGACUAUGGCACACAAAAGGAAGAGUGAUAGCUUAAGUAUAGAGCUCAUUAAAGCACAGCUCAGUUCUCAUAGCAUACCUAAAAUGCAGUUAUUUUAGCAAGUUUCAAUGAUAUGCCUUAUAAAACCUAUCAUCCACAGAUCUGAUUUACAGUUCCUUCAGGGUAGUUUGAAUACGAUUUCAAAGCUGUCAUUUUGAGCUUGCCCUUAGCAAGUUGACUUGCUGAACUUACCUUUGUAUGCCCUUUACUACAUCCCAUUUCUCACCUAGACUCUAAUUUUGCCUCUGUCAAGUCAUCUAGUUUUUCAAACUCUUCUCAAGGCCUAUCUCCUUGGGGAAUCUUCCUAACCUUUCAGGAAAAUUAGACAAUAUCCACUGUUUCAGAUACCUGAUGCAUAAACAGACCUCUGUAUCUAUUCACAACCCAACAUUUGAAAAUUUUUAAAAGUCAAUAAUUUAAGAACAAACCUUGAAUAAUACUCUUGGUUACAGGAUGAAAUUUAAGAUAAAGGUCACUCUUGGAUCUCAUUUUUCAUUAAACAGGAUGAAACCUUAUU